UAGGGAAUAUUAGAAAUGGACGAAAGUCUGAUCUAGCAACACCGCGUGUGCGAUGAAGGCCUUCGGGUUGUAAAGCACUUUUUGGAAGGAUUAGGCAGGAAUGUACUUUCAGAAUAAGUCUCGGCUAACUACGUGCCAGCAGCCGCGGUAACACGUAGGAGGCGAACGUUAUCCGGAUUUACUGGGCGUAAAGCGCGUGUAGGUGGUUCUGUAAGUAGGGCGUGAAAGCUCCUGGCUGAACUGGGAGAGGCCGUUCUAAACUGCAGAGCUAGAGGAUGGUAGAGGGAGGAGGAAUAACGGGUGUAGCGGUGGAAUGCUCAGAUAUCCGGAGGAACACCAGUGGCGAAGGCGGCCUCCUGGACCAUUCCUGACACUCAGACGCGAAAGCUAGGGUAGCAAACGG
rnacentral:rRNA from 1 species